rnacentral:tRNA from 1 species
GCCCACGUAGCUCAGUGGUAGAGCACUUCUUUGGUAAAGAAGAGGUCAAGGGUCCGAUUCCCUUCGUGGGCCCCA